CCUGACUGCUAUCGGAUUGAUACUAAGCCAUGCGAGUCAUUGUAGUAAUACAAGGCAGACGGCUCAGUAACGCGUAGUCAACCUACCCUAUGGACGGGGAUAACCUCGGGAAACUGAGAAUAAUACCCGAUAGAACAUUAUACCUGGAAUGGUUUAUGUUUCAAAUAAUUUAUUGCCGUAGGAUGGGACUGCGGCCUAUCAGUUUGUUGGUGAGGUAAUGGCCCACCAAGACUAUUACAGGUACGGGCUCUGAGAGGAGUAGCCCGGAGAUGGGUACUGAGACACGGACCCAGGCCCUAUGGGGCGCAGCAGGCGAGAAAACUUUGCAAUGUGCGAAAGCACGACAAGGUUAAUCCGAGUGGUUUCUGCUAAAGGAACCUUUUGUCAGUCCUAGAAACACUGGUGAAUAAGGGGUGGGCAAGUUCUGGUGUCAGCCGCCGCGGUAAAACCAGCACCUCAAGUGGUCAGGAUGAUUAUUGGGCCUAAAGCAUCCGUAGCCUGCUUUGUUAGUUUUCGGUUAAAUCCAUACGCUUAACGUAUGGGCUGCCGGGAAUACUGCAAAGCUAGGGAGUGGGAGAGGUAGACGGUACUCGGUAGGAAGGGGUAAAAUCCUUUGAUCUAUUGAUGACCACCUGUGGCGAAGGCGGUCUACCAGAACACGUCCGACGGUGAGGGAUGAAAGCUGGGGGAGCAAACCGGAUUAGAUACCCGGGUAGCCCCAGCUGUAAACUAUGCAAACUCGGUGAUGCAUUGGCUUGAUGCCAAUGCAGUGCCGCAGGGAAGCCGUUAAGUUUGCCGCCUGGGAAGUACGUACGCAAGUAUGAAACUUAAAGGAAUUGGCGGGGGAGCACCACAAGGGGUGAAGCCUGCGGUUC
rnacentral:rRNA from 1 species